AGACAGCAACUCUACGCAAGACUGAUCGAUGUUGGAGGAGGCCAACCACCUAGAAUGCGUAUCAGCCGGCAACUAGGAGGCACGGGCGCUCACUAUACUCUCCUUUUUUGGAUUUCUAUGGAGCACUGCACUAUUUUAUCGCUGACGUCGAACGGAAAACUUGAAUAUGAGAUGCAAACAUGGAAUGAUCACGUUGGACGACACGUGCCUCGUUGUAUAGCUAAGUAUAAACAAUAUACUGCGAAGUUAUUUUCUCCCUACACCCGCCACUGCAUGCCCCAUCGACAAAUCCUGUUAUAUCCACGUAUACUAGA